AUAAGAUAAUCAGGUUGGACACAAGUCCACGUCCCCCGUGGGACUCACACUCUGGAUCCCUAUUUUAUUCAUUCUUCCAUUCAUUCAUUCGAUUGUAUUUGUUGAGCGCUUACCGUGCGCAGGGCACUGUGCUAAACCCUUGGGAGAGUACGAUAUAGCGAUAAACAGACACAUUCCCUGCCCACAACGAGCUUACAGUCCACUUCGUUUUACAGAUGAAAUAACUGAGGCACAGAGAAGUGAACAUCCCCUGCCCACAACUAGCUCAAAGUGUACUUCCUUUUACGGUUGAAAUAACCGAGGCACAGAGAAGUGAAGUGACUUGCUUGAGAACACACAGCGGACGAGUGGCAGAGCUGGGAUUAGAACCCAGGUCCUUCUCAUUUCCAGGCCUCCGCUCUACCCACUCGGCAACACUGCUUCUCUUUGACCUUCUGCUCAGCCCCGUUCCCAAAAAGGCAGAAGAAAGGUCUAGCCGGUCACCUUCCAACUUUUCGGGUCAUGCCAUCUCCUCUACACUCUCGGGCACUUAUUUAUUGAGCAGGAAAGCCUCUCCUGCUCCAGGUGGUCAACGGCGCCUUGGAAGGCAAAGUAACGGAAGGGUAGUUUGGAACCGCUCCUCUUCAACGGCAGGACCCCGCCUAGGUUGUCUGUCUGCACGGUAAGCCCUCUCUAGACCCUAAGCACGUUACGGGCAGGGAACGUGCCUGCUAAUUCUGUCGUCCUCCUCCAAGUCCUUAGCACAGGAAUAAUGAUAGCAAUAACAAUAGCAUCUCUUAAGCGCUAACUGUUCUAAGCACUGGGGUGGGUACAAGUGAAUCAGGUUGGACCCAGUCCCUGUCCCACAUGGACCUCACAGUCUUAAUCCCCAUUUUGCAGAUGAGGUAACUGAGGCCCAGGGAAGUGAAGCGACUUGUCCAAGGUCGCACAACAUCCCGGGAUGAGAGGCCGGGUCCUUCCGACUCCCAGGCCCGUGCUCUAUCCACUGGGCCACGCAUCGUCCCUCGUCACGGGCAGGGAACGGGUCUGCCCGUCUGUUCUGUCAUACCGUCCCAAGUGCUUAGUGCAGUGUCCCUCACAGAGGAAGCGCCCAAUAAAUACGGUUGAUUGAUUUGGCCUGUACUCUGGCGCAGCGCCCCCGGCAGCCAUGCGGCAGAGCUGCAGAAAACCGACCUUGGCCCAGGGCCUCGUGGUGAGGUUAGUGGCUCUCGGGGCCAACCUAGUGGGGUUUUGGGGUCCCCAGAGCCAACAGGGAGGCUGUGGCUUCUCAUCUGGGGGUGUGGGGCUGGGCAGGAGCCCCUCAGCCCCCGUCAGGCCCGCCUCAGCUUGGUCCCGGUCCUGGGAUUGACCCUGUCCCGGCCACUACCGUGGAGAGAGGACGUAGCUGAAGCUUUCAUCAUAAUCGCCUCUGAAGUCAGACCACUGCUACGUCCCAGGGCGCCUGGCGUUUGUAC
rnacentral:lncRNA from 1 species